rnacentral:sRNA from 1 species
GCUGGGCAUGGUGGCACAUGCCUGUAAUCCCAUUGGCUCGGGAGGCUGAGGCAGGAGGAUUAUGAGUUCAAAGCCAGCCUCAGCGAAAGCAAGGCACUAAGCAACUCAGUGAGACCCUGUCUCUA